rnacentral:lncRNA from 10 species
AGGUGGGAACUGAACAAUGAGAACACGUGGACACAGGAAGGGGAACCUCACACUCUGGGGACUGCUGUGGGGUGGGGGGAGGGGGGACUAAUAGCAUUAGGAGAUAUACCUAAUGCUAAAUGACGAGUUAAUGGGUGCAGCACCCCAGCAUGGCACAUGUAUACACAUGUAACUAACCUGCACAUUGUGCACAUGUACCCUGAAACUUAAAGUAUAAUAAUAAAAAACAAAACAAAACAAAACAAGGGAAGUGGUGUCCUCUCUGAGCGUUUUCUUUGGAAAACUUGUCAUUGUAAAUCUUCCUCUGCCCCUUUGAGGGGCAUGCAAUGCUUUUUGACAACUAAAUAAGCCUCUUGCCAGCUUUGCAACCCAGGACUGUGUUCCUGAAGGACCUGGGAGCCCGUCUUUGAAACGUCAUCAUCAGAGCAGCCAGGGCCCUAUCUGCCAGUCUCUGUGGGAUGGUGGGGGCCUAACAUCUGCUGUGAGUAGUAAAUCUACCUCCUGUCACGAAGGUAAGAGUUUAUUUUCCUUUGUAACAAGGUAAUUAGCAAACGCAGGUGGUCAGGUAAAUUGAGGUUGAAUCUCCAAUAAAUGGGUGUGGCCAAAGGUGCUGGGAAGUCCACUGAUCUGAGGACUAGGCAUUACUCUUCUUGAGAAUGCGUGCAGUGAACAAUGGGUUGGACCCACUGGCUAGAUAAGCGUGAGAUUUCUGUCUUUGCAGCAUCUUAGCGGAUCAUUGUCUGUGAUGCACAUCUCACUCUGAGUUAAUGCCUCUUCAAUGAUGAAAGUGUUUUCUUCCUCUUCUACCUCUGCAGAGAGGCUUGCUGGGAUAGAUUUUGUUUGUAAUUCUAUUUCCCCACCGCCAGAGGCCGGACUUUGGGGGUCAGGCAGCUGAGAAGGAGUUUAGAACCCAUGCCUAGGCCUUCCACACUCUACAGGCACCCAGUUCAUCCAUCAGUAGCAGAACUUAGAGUCUUCCUGGGACUCCAUACUGCCUGGAGAGAGGAAUUCGUUCUCUUUCAUUGCUGACAUUCCUGGGUGAAUGCCUGUGGCAGUUAUACUUUACCCAUCCCAUUUUGUACCUCCUUCCACUCCAGGGGACCCCAAGGGGCCUGGCUCCACUUGCCCAGUGCACCUCCGAAGAAGGGAGACUGGGAAAUGAGGAUCCUGCCAGGGGGCCAGGUGUUGGACAAGGUGCAUGUGAAUGUGGAGGAGGAAGACGGAGCCCUCCCAAGAACCUGACAGGGUCAGGGAUGAGGUGAGAGUGCUCAGAAGAGUGCUGAGGCAGGACCCAGGCUGGGGCCACGGACCUGCCUCAGCAGCUGGGGUCUGACCUCUUGGGGUUGUGUUCUGACUCCCCUUCCCCCAUGGCUCUUUGCCCUCUGGAAGCCAAGGGGCAAUGGCAGGUUCACAGUGGCACUGCAAGGGUACAGUUGGUGGGAGCUCUGCCGAGGUGUCCCUCUGAGUGACCACCCUCAGCUGGAGCCGCCAGGCCUCUGCACAGUAGCUGCCCCUGGGCCUUGUGUGUAAAAUGGGGGUAAUAACAGUAUCUACCUCAUAAGGUUGCUGCAAGAACUAAAUGAGUUCCUAGAAGUGAAAGACACUUAGAACCAGGAUCCAGAGGCUUGCGAAGGGUGAGCUGGAGUAGCCAUGGUAAGUAUGGAGAGGGAGGUGAACUGAGGAU